UUUGGACAACAGCGUUUCAGGAACUUCUUACAGUCCUCUGCUCUACCAACUGAGCUAUGAAGGUGCUUAUAUAUACAAACGCAGAAAACAUAGUGGCUUCGGCGAGACACUUUGCCAACAAUACAAUUGGACCCACAUGGUCAAUGAAAAAGGUUGAAGAGUGCAUACAGCAAUGAAAUGUGGUGUUUGGAGCUGGAGUUGAACCAGCCACCUUUGGAGAACAGCGUUUCAGGAACUUCUUAGAGUGCUCUGCUCUACCAACUGAGCUCUGAAGGUGCUUAUAUAUACAAACGCAGAAAACAUAGUGGCUUCGGCGAGACACUUUGCCAACAAUACAAUUGGACCCACAUGGUCAAUGAAAAAGGUUGAAGAGUGCAUACAGCAAUGAAAUCUGUUGUUUGGAGCUGGAGUUGAACCGGCCACCUUUGGACCACAGCGUUUCAGGAGCUUCUUACAGUCCUCUGCUCUACCAAGUGAGCUAUGAAGGUGCUUAUAGACACAAACGCAGAAAACAUAGUGGCUUCGGCGACACACUUUGCCAACAAUACAAUUGGACCAAAUGGUCAAUGAAAAAGGUUGAACAGUGCAUAAAGCAAUGAAAUCUGGUGUUUGGAGUUGGAGUUGAACCAGCGACGUUUGGACAACAGCGUUUCAGGAACUUCUUACAGUCCUCUGCUCUACCAACUGAGCUAUGAAGGUGCUUAUAUAUACAAACGCAGAAAACAUAGUGGCUUCGGCGAGACACUUUGCCAACAAUACAAUUGGACCCACAUGGUCAAUGAAAAAGGUUGAAGAGUGCAUAAAGCAAUGAAAUGUGUUGUUUGGAGCUGGAGUUGAACCAGCGACGUUUGGACAACAGCGUUUCAGGAACUUCUUACAGUCCUCUGCUCUACCAACUGAGCUAUGAAGGAGCUUAUAUAUACAAACGCAGAAAACAUAGUGGCUUCGGCGAGACACUUUGCCAACAAUACAAUUGGACCCACAUGGUCAAUGAAAAAGGUUGAAGAGUGCAUACAGCAAUGAAAUGUGGUGUUUGGAGCUGGAGUUGAACCAGCGACUUUUGGACCACAGCGUUUCAGGAACUUCUUACAGUCCUCUGCUCUACCAACUGAGCUAUGAAGGUGCUUAUAUAUACAAACGCAGAAAACAUAGUGGCUUCGGCGACACACUUUGCCAACAUAACAAUCAAGCUACCUGGUCAAUGAAAAAGGUUGAACAGUGCAUAAAGCAAUGAAAUGUGGUGUUUGGAGCUGGAGUUGAACAAGCGAACUUUGGACCACAGCGUUUCAGGAACUUCUUACAGUCCUCUGCUCUACCAAGUGAGCUAUGAAGGUGCUUAUAGGCCCAAACGCAGAAAACAUAGUGGCUUCGGCGACACACUUUGCCAACAAUACAAUUGGACCCACAUGGUCAAUGAAAAAGGUUGAAGAAUGCAUACAGCAAUGAAAUCUGGUGUUUGGAGCUGGAGUUGAACCAGUGACCUUUGGACCACAGCGUUUCAGGAACUUCUUACAGUCCUCUGCUCUACCAACUGCGCUAUGAAGGUGCUUAUAGACAGAAACGCAGAAAACAUAGUGGCUUCGGCGACACACUUUGCCAACAAUACAAUUGGACCCACAUGGUCAAUGAAAAAAGUUGAAGAGUGCAUACAGCAAUGAAAUGUGGUGUUUGGAGCUGGAGUUGAACCAGCCACCUUUGGAGAACAGCGUUUCAGGAACUUCUUACAGUCCUCUGCUCUACCAACUGAGCUAUGAAGGUGCUUAUAUAUACAAACGCAGAAAACAUAGUGGCUUCGGCGACACACUUUGCCAACAAUACAAUUGGAACCACAUGGUCAAUGAAAAAGGUUGAAGAGUGCAUACAGCAAUGAAAUGUGGUGUUUGGAGUUGGAGUUGAACCAGCGACCUUUUGACAACAGCGUUUCAGGAACUUCUUUUCUUACAGUCCUCUGCUCUACCAACUGAGCUAUGAAGGAGCUUAUAUAUACAAACGCAGAAAACAUAGUGGCUUCGGCGACACACUUUGCCAACAAUACAAUUGGACCCACAUGGUCAAUGAAAAAGGUUGAAGAGUGCAUAAAGCAAUGAAAUGUGGUGUUUGGAGUUGGAGUUGAACCAGCCACCUUUGGAGAACAGCGUUUCAGGAACUUGUUACAGUCCUCUGCUCUACCAACUGAGCUAUGAAGGUGCUUAUAUAUACAAACGCAGAAAACAUAGUGGCUUCGGCGACACAC